AGACGUCUACAUUAGAUACCCCCGUAGUCCCAGCCGUAAACUAUGCGCGUUAGGUGUAUCGGUGACCACGAGUUACCGGGGUGCCGAAGGGAAACCGUGAAACGUGCCGCCUGGGAAGUACGGUCGCAAGGCUGAAACUUAAAGGAAUUGGCGGGGAGCACCACAACGGGUGGAGCCUGCGGUUUAAUUGGACUCAACGCCGGGAAGCUCACCGGAUAAGACAGCGGAAUGAUUGCCGGGCUGAAGACUCUGCAUGACUAGCUG
rnacentral:rRNA from 1 species